GCCGUCUUGUCAAAGUAGUGUGCGUGACUUUUAAUCACGUGGCUGUGUGUUCGAUGUCCACAGACGGCG
rfam:Brassica napus, WGS project CCCW01000000 data, contig: 21134